GAGUUCCCUUCGGGGACAUUGGUGACAGGUGGGGCAUGGUUGUCGUCAGCUCGUGUCGUGAGAUGUUGGGUUAAGUCCCGCAACGAGCGCAACCCUUGUCUUUAGUUGCCAUCAUUAAGUUGGGCACUCUAGAGAGACUGCCAGGGAUAACCUGGAGGAAGGUGGGGAUGACGUCAAAUCAUCAUGCCCCUUAUGCUUAGGGCUACACACGUGCUACAAUGGGUAGUACAGAGGGUUGCCAAGCCGUAAGGUGGAGCUAAUCCCUUAAAGCUACUCUCAGUUCGGAUUGUAGGCUGAAACUCGCCUACAUGAAGCUGGAGUUACUAGUAAUCGCAGAUC
rnacentral:rRNA from 1 species